rnacentral:rRNA from 1 species
CCUACGGGCGGCUGCAGUGGGGAAUAUUGGACAAUGGGGGGAACCCUGAUCCAGCCAUGCCGCGUGUGUGAAGAAGGCCCUCGGGUUGUAAAGCACUUUCAGUGAGGAAGAACGCCUGGUGGUUAAUACCCAUCAGGAAAGACAUCACUCACAGAAGAAGCACCGGCUAACUCCGUGCCAGCAGCCGCGGUAAUACGGAGGGUGCGAGCGUUAAUCGGAAUUACUGGGCGUAAAGCGCGCGUAGGUGGCUUGAUAAGCCGGUUGUGAAAGCCCCGGGCUCAACCUGGGAACGGCAUCCGGAACUGUCAAGCUAGAGUGCAGGAGAGGAAGGUAGAAUUCCCGGUGUAGCGGUGAAAUGCGUAGAGAUCGGGAGGAAUACCAGUGGCGAAGGCGGCCUUCUGGACUAACACUGACACUGAGGUGCGAAAGCGUGGGUAGCAAACAGGAUUAGAUACCCUGGUAGUC